AAUGCCUGUGCUAAUGCUAUAAAAUAUUCUAUAUAUUUUUUUGAGACAUAUUUCUUUUUUUCCAGGCAAUCAGUUGUCCAAUGAAAUAUAUUACAGAAGUUUAUGGACCAGAAAAUUCUAAUGGCUACUAAUAGGAAUAUGGGAUGGAAGAUUGGAAUAAAUGCAUGAGAGGAUAAACAUACAGAAAAAAAAACAGAGAGGGAAUUUGAUGGUACUACGUAGUAAAUGCAGGGGAUUCACGCAAUAAUCUGUAAAGGCGACACAUUUUUACCAAACUCAAUAUCAACUUUACUCCAGAAAAUAAAUGAUCAGAAGAUUAGUUCAAGAACAACCUUUGUUAGUAGAAAAAGAAGAAUGUACUUCAAGAGAUUAUCUGAUACAACCAAAAUCCGCAGAUUUAGAAAAGACGCAGAGAGUAAAUAUUUAUAUAUAAGAUCUUUGGUAGAAAUUAAACUAGGUAAUUUAUUUUAUAGAUUAAGUUAAUGGCUACCAUUGAUGUAACAAGAGGCUUCUGUGAUAACGACCUCACUGCCGUUUCAUGCCUAUAAAAUCAUUCCUUUCGUCUCAUCAGCAAGUACAAGUUUAUAAAAUUGCAUCGACGGAAGACAAGGACUGGAAGACCGGCUGGGAGAUGUCGUCGAUGGAUACAAAGCUGCCUAGAUUAUAGAUAAAGUCUUUGAAGACAAGAAAUGCUACUCACUUGCUUGAUCGCUCCAAAGUUUAACAGCCCAUUUGACCAGCGAACCAACCAUCGGCCUAUUUCGAUCUCUGAAGAAUCUUAAUUGAUAUGUUAAUACUGCACUUUGUAUUUUUUGUAAUACUUAAAU